GGGCGAUUAGCUCAGUUGGUUAGAGCGCCUGCUUUACACGCAGGAGGCCGUAGGUUCAAGUCCUUCAUCGCCCA
rnacentral:tRNA from 1 species